rnacentral:tRNA from 1 species
GGUCGCGUAGCUCAGCUGGAUAGAGCAUCUGGUUUCUAACCAGACGGUCAUAGGUUCGAAUCCUAUCGCGAUCACCA